AGAGUUUGAUUCUGGCUCAGAACGAACGCUGGCGGCGUGGAUAAGACAUGCAAGUCGAACGCUGAUUGCGAAGUAGCAAUAUUUCGCAGUCGGAGUGGCGCAAGGGUGCGUAACACGUGGGUAAUUUGCCGUGAAGCUCUGGAUAACUCCGAGAAAUCGGAGCUAAUACGGAAUGUGAUCAUCUGGGGGCAUCCUCGGGUGGUUAAAGCUGGGGACCGAAAGGCCUGACACUUCACGAUAAGCCCGCGGCCUAUCAGCUAGUUGGUGAGGUAACGGCCCACCAAGGCUAAGACGGGUAGCUGGUCUGAGAGGACGACCAGCCACACUGGAACUGAGACACGGUCCAGACACCUACGGGUGGCAGCAGUCGAGAAUUUUUCACAAUGGGCGCAAGCCUGAUGGAGCGACGCCGCGUGGGGGAUGAAUGGCUUCGGCCCGUAAACCCCUGUCAUUUGCGAGCAAAGCUAUCUCGCUAACACCGGGAUAGUUGAUCGUAGCGAAAGAGGAAGGGACGGCUAACUCUGUGCCAGCAGCCGCGGUAAUACAGAGGUCCCAAGCGUUGUUCGGAUUCACUGGGCGUAAAGGGUGCGUAGGUGGCGAGGUAAGUUCGGUGUGAAAUCUCCGGGCUCAACCCGGAAAAGGCAUUGAAUACUCUCUUGCUGGAGGUUUGGAGGGGGGACUGGAAUUCUCGGUGUAGCAGUGAAAUGCGUAGAUAUCGAGAGGAACACCGGUGGCGAAGGCGAGUCCCUGGACAACACCUGACACUGAGGCACGAAAGCUAGGGGAGCAAACAGGAUUAGAUACCCUGGUAGUCCUAGCCCUAAACGGUGCACAUUUGCUGUGGGCGGAUUCGACCCCGCCUGUGGCGGAGCUAACGCGAUAGAUGUGCCGCCUGGGAAGUACGGUCGCAAGAUUAAAACUCAAAGAAAUUGACGGGGGCCUGCACAAGCGGUGGAGUAUGUGGCUCAAUUCGAUCAACGCGAAGAACCUUACCUGGCCUUGACAUGUAGGUAGUAGAAGGAUGAAAGUCCGACGAACCCGCAAGGGAGGCCUACACAGGUGCUGCAUGGCUGUCGUCAGCUCGUGUCGUGAGAUGUUGGGUUAAGUCCCGCAACGAGCGCAACCCUUGUGUCCUGUUGCUAUCGAAACGAAAGUUUCGAGCACUCUGGACAGACUGCCUCGCUUCAACGGGGAGGAAGGUGGGGAUGACGUCAAGUCAGUAUGGCCCUUACGGCCAGGGCUGCACACGUACUACAAUGCCUGGUACAAAGGGACGCAAGAUCGUAUGAUGGAGCAAAUCCCAAAAACCAGGCCCAGUUCAGAUUGUCGUCUGCAACUCGACGGCAUGAAGCCGGAAUCGCUAGUAAUGGCGCAUCAGCUACGGCGCCGUGAAUACGUUCCCAGGCCUUGUACACACCGCCCGUCACAUCAUGAAAGCCGUUUGUACCCGAAGUCAUUACGCUAACCGCAAGGGAGCCGAUGCCGAAGGUAUGGUCGGUGAUUGGGAUGAAGUCGUAACAAGGUA
rnacentral:rRNA from 1 species